rnacentral:misc_RNA from 1 species
AACGCACCUUGCACCCUCUGGUAUUCCGGAGGGUAUGCCUGUUUGAGUGUCAUUAAUCUCUCAACACAACGAGUUUAUUCUUGCUUGUGCUUGGAUGUUGAAGGCUGCCGGCGUCAUUGUCAGCUCCUUUUGAAUGUAUUAGCAGGACUAUGUAGGACCAGCUUCGGUUUGAUAAUACUUUUAUCUAUGCUGUCGCUGAGAAUCGUUUUGUUCAGCUUCUAACUGUCCCUUCUGUGGGACUGUCUCCUUGCUGAGGCAUAACCUUGACUCUUGACCUCAAAUCAGGUAGGACUACCCGCUGAACUUAA